rnacentral:tRNA from 2 species
GGGGGUAUAGCUCAGUGGUAGAGCGCGUGCUUAGCAUGCACGAGGCCCUGGGUUCGAUCCCUAGUACCUCCA